UCCACUAUAGGCCAGCGGUUAAACUGCCCGCAACCGAUCAUCGUCGGGAGCGGGAGGUUGGAGGUUCGACUCCUCCUAGUGGUA